rnacentral:rRNA from 1 species
CGGUGCAUGCAUGGGCGCAGCCUGAUGCAGCCAUGCCGCGUGUGUGAAGAAGGCCUUCGGGUUGUAAAGUACUUUCAGCAGUGAGGAAGGGGGAUGUGUUAAUAGCGCACUCCUUUGACGUUAGCUGCAGAAGAAGCACCGGCUAACUCCGUGCCAGCAGCCGCGGUAAUACGGAGGGUGCGAGCGUUAAUCGGAAUUACUGGGCGUAAAGCGCAUGCAGGUGGUUUGUUAAGUCAGAUGUGAAAGCCCGGGGCUCAACCUCGGAAUUGCAUUUGAAACUGGCAAACUAGAGUGCUGUAGAGGGGGGUAGAAUUUCAGGUGUAGCGGUGAAAUGCGUAGAGAUCUGAAGGAAUACCGGUGGCGAAGGCGGCCCCCUGGACAGAUACUGACACUCAUAUGCGAAAGCGUGGGGAGCAAACAGGAUUAGAUACCCUGGUAGUCCACGCCGUAAACGAUGUCUACUUGGAGGUUGUGGCCUUGAACCUGGGCUUUCGGAGCUAACGCGUUAAGUAGACCGCCUGGGGAGUACGGUCGCAAGAUUAAAACUCAAAUGAAUUGACGGGGGCCCGCACAAGCGGUGGAGCAUGUGGUUUAAUUCAAUGCAACGCGAAAACCUUACCUACUCUUGACAUCCAGAGAACUUUCCAGAGAUGGAUGGGUGCCUUCGGAAACUCUGACACAGGUGCUGCAUGGCUGUCGUCAUCUCGUGUUGUGAAAUGUUGGGUUAAGUCCCGCAACGAGCGCAACCCUUAUCCUUGUUUGCCAGCACUUCGUGUGGGAACUCCAGAGACACUGCCGUGUGAUACCCGAGAGAAAGGGGGGAGAACACCUCGUCACAACAUGGCCCUUACGAGUAGGGCUACACACGCUCUACAAUGGCAUAUACAGAGCUCCGCCAACUUGCGAGAGUGAGCAAAUCCUAAAAUGUGCUCGUAGUCCGGAUUGGAGUCGCAUCUCCACUCCUUGAAUUCGGAAUUCGCUAGAUAUCGUGAUCAAUGGCCCACGGGUGAAUACGUUCCCGGGCCUUGGUACACCGGCCGUUCACCCUUGGAAUGGGUCUUCAAAGAAGUGGAGUAGCUACUCGAGGGGACCGUCUCCACCGUAUGAGUUCAUGACUGGGGUGGAGGUCGAUC